AACGAACGCUGGCGGCGUGCCUAACACAUGCAAGUCGUGCGAGAAAGUUCCUUCGGGAGCGAGUAAAGCGGCGCACGGGUGAGUAACACGUAGGUAACCUGCCCCCCAGUCUGGAACAACUAGAGGAAACUCUAGCUAAUGCCGGAUGAGACCACGAUCCCUUCGGGGGUUGCGGCCAAAAGAUGGCCUCUACUUGUAAGCUAUCGCUGAGGGAUGGGCCUGCGGGCCAUUAGCUUGUUGGUGAGGUAACGGCUCACCAAGGCUGUGAUGGCUAGCUGGUCUGAGAGGAUGACCAGCCACACUGGGACUGAGACACGGCCCAGACUCCUACGGAGGCAGCAGUGGGGAAUAUUGCGCAAUGGGCGAAAGCCUGACGCAGCGACGCCGCGUGGGUGAUGAAGGCCUU
rnacentral:rRNA from 1 species